rnacentral:rRNA from 2 species
GGAAACUAGAUAACUUGAGUGCAGAAGAGGGGAGUGGAACUCCCAUGUGUAGCGGUGGAAUGCGUAGAUAUAUGGAAGCACACCAGUGGGAAGGCGGCUACCUGGUCUGCAACUGACGCUGAGACUCGAAAGCAUGGGUAGCGAACAGGAUUAGAUACCGUGGUAGUCCAUGCCGUAAACGAUGAGUGCUAGGUGUUGGAGGGUUUUCCGCCCUUCAGUGCCGGAGCUAACGCAUUAAGCACUCCGCCUGGGGAGUACGACCGCAAGGUUGAAACUCAAAGGAAUUGACGGGGGCCCGCACAAGCGGUGGAGCAUGUGGUUUAAUUUGAAGCUACGCGAAGAACCUUACCAGGUCUUGACAUCUUGCGCCAACCCUAGAGAUAGGGCGUUUCCUUCGGGAACGCAAUGACAGGUGGUGCAUGGUCGUCGUCAGCUCGUGUCGUGAGAUGUUGGGUUAAGUCCCGCAACGAGCGCAACCCUUGUUAUUAGUUGCCAGCAUUAAGUUGGGCACUCUAGUGAGACUGCCGGUGACAAACCGGAGGAAGGUGGGGACGACGUCAGAUCAUCAUGCCCCUUAUGACCUGGGCUACACACGUGCUACAAUGGACGGUACAACGAGUCGCAAACUCGCGAGGGCAAGCAAAUCUCUUAAAACCGUUCUCAGUUCGGACUGCAGGCUUCAACUCGCCUGCACGAAGUCGGAAUCGCUAGUAAUCGCGGAUUUGCAUGCCUCGGUGAAUACGUUCCCGGGCCCGGUACACACCGCCCGUCACACCAUGAGAGUUUGUAACACCCCAACUCGGUGGGCUAACCUUCUCGGAGCCGAGCCGCAUAAGGCUGGUACCAGCGUGCA